GAGGAAAGAGUGAGGCGUGCCUAAUACAUGCAAGUCGAGCGAACGGACGAGAAGCUUGCUUCUCUGAUGUUAGCGGCGGACGGGUGAGUAACACGUGGAUAACCUACCUAUAAGACUGGGAUAACUUCGGGAAACCGGAUCUAAUACCGGAUAAUAUUUUGAACCGCAUGGUUCAAAAGUGAAAGACGGUCUUGCUGUCACUUAUAGAUGGAUCCGCGCUGCAUUAGCUAGUUGGUAAGGUAACGGCCUACCCAGGCAACGAUGCAUAGCCGACCUGAGAGGGUGAUCGGCCCACAUGGAACCGAGAACCGGUCCAGACUCCUACGGGAGGCAGCAGUAGGGAAUCUUCCGCAAUGGGCGAAAGCCUGAAGGAGCCAAGGCGCGUGAGUGAUGAAGGUCUUCGGAUCGUAAAACUCUGUUAUUAGGGAAGAAAAUAUGUGUAAGUAACUGUGCACAUCUUGACGGUACCUAAUCAGAAAGCCACGGCUAAAUACGUG
rnacentral:rRNA from 1 species